AUCUAACAUUUUAUCUUGAAUACAGAAUAUGCAUGCGUGCGCACAUGCUGGUCAUGCCGGUUGGUCGUGCAGGUGCUGGUCAAGAAGAUGUUCCAUGUGUCCCACAUGGCCAGGGAGUUCGCCUCUCGUCCAGUGGACACUGACGCCUGCACGUGCUGCGCCGAGGUGCCGCGUGUGGGUGCCUUGCAGAAGCUACUCCUACCACUCCAGGUGGGCUACGACGGUGUGACCAAGGAUCGGGACAGCGAGCUGCUCAAGCUACUAAAUGGCUUCAGGGGCAGCGUAGGGUGCAUGUGCAUCUAGACGGUGGACUUCAUGGUGCUCAAGAGGCCAUUUUUAUAGGGUUAUUUAGAUAACAUGAACAGAGCAUUGACAUCUGCGGAUAAUGUGAAGAGUAACUUAAGUUCAGCUUCUGGUCAAUGAGCAUUUGCCUCUUAAAUGUUCCAUCCGCUUGUCAGUCUCUCUUGGAAGCAUGGUUUCUGAAAGUGUUUCCGUUUCCUGUAUUAUGAAGCGCAUCUGCGUUCAUUUGGCCGAGACAGAGCAUAACUCGGAGCUGGUGCGCCGUUGGACAUAUUCUGCUG